rnacentral:ncRNA from 1 species
AAAUAGCCGAUGAAAGGUAAAAGUAGCCUGACUGCAUGUUUUCAGAGAACCGGUGGUUGGUGCAAACCGGGAACACGGCAGGUGAAUUCCGACCUGGAGGUGGGCGGGGAUUAACCCGUCCCGUGGUGCAUGUUGCGCACAUUGAGGGGGCCAAUAUUUUUGGUCAACCAGGGUGGUACCGCGAGAAAACUCGUCCCUGCA